UUUGCAUACCGUGUUUUCAGAUCUGUUCCCCUCUCACUUCCACGACCCUCUUCUUCCAGUCCAGCCGCCGCCAUGGAUGAACCCUCCUCUGCAUUGACAACCUCGUCCAUCAAGCUGCCCACAAAUGAUGAGCUGCUGGUCAAGGGCUUUCCUCCGCAAUCUCCUAUCUGUGUCACCAUCAGCAAGCAAUUCAUUCUUGAACAAGCAAUUGAAAGAAUUGGUGGCACAAUCCAUCCAUUCACUUUCACCGACAUAGGCAGUGACGAUGUGGGUAUCUCUGUCUCUAAUGACCUGCCCCCGCACAGCAAAAGACUGUCAAGCACAACAAAGGAAUUUCAUGGACCAUGCAUUGAAUCUACGUGUGUUGCCGCCCUUGGAUACCUUCAGAAAACAGGUAUAAUCACGGUAGAUGAUGCAAAUUUCGCGAAGUUGAAAAAAUGCAAUAGAAAACUUCAGGUUGAGGAGUUCUGGUCGUCGGCGCUCUACGAUCAGGCCAGCGCCCUGCGUAACCAACUCUCUUCACUGACCGCAAUCAACCAGGGUCCUCAACCUAAGCCUAAACAAGAAGCUAAUGUGCUACCUUCUACGCACAAGAAUACUCCACGGGCCAAUUACCAAAUCAUGCUGUCCGAGUUGCUUGCCCCCAGGAUACCAGUGAAGAAGAAAGUGCAUCAACCCCGGUCACAGCAAAUACUAAUAGGUGCUCUCCACUCCAUUUUCUUAUCGUUGUCUUCACAUACAACCCAGCUGUGGCUUCUGUGUCCUAACUACACAAUUACUCAUUGUCAGCAUCUAUCGUCUACCUUCUAAAAGUAACAAGAAGAUGAGGACCGCACGCCGAGCACUAUUCCCUGGAAAAUAGAGCAGCACACACGCCAUUGCAGGCUCCCAUCAUUACAACAACACGAUGGAAUAAGCCAUUCUCCGAGUCUACGUUGCAUUGAACCUUGCCAGAUUCAGGACCCGUCGCUUUUGUCAUACACGCAGCUUGAUCUUGCAGCUGUAUAGCACUAUGUAUAAAUGCAUGAAACCCUCUGUUAUGCUACUCCGGAUUAGAUGCAAAUUACAUGCUUUUGUACCUCCCCACGUCGAACGAAGGCAGUUCACAUUCAAGCUUUAUUGCCCCUGAACAAUUAACAUUAUAAUCUAUCUUUUCAGCAUGUUAGGAUCAUCUCCAUUAA